rnacentral:rRNA from 1 species
UACAGAGGUCUCAAGCGUUGUUCGGAUUCAUUGGGCGUAAAGGGUGCGUAGGUGGCGGGGUAAGUCAGGUGUGAAAUCUCGAGGCUCAACCUCGAAACUGCACUUGAUACUGCGGUGCUUGAGGACUGGAGAGGAGACUGGAAUUCAUGGUGUAGCAGUGAAAUGCGUAGAGAUCAUGAGGAAGACCAGUGGCGAAGGCGGGUCUCUGGACAGUUCCUGACACUGAGGCACGAAGGCCAGGGGAGCAAACGGG